CACCCGAAGAAGCAGACCCGCUGGUGGGCUACAGGGACCCCCGGCAGACGCUCGAGUCUAGCGCGCCGCACUGACCCCUGCCCGCCCGGGAAACUAACAAAGGCGGCGCGCGAGCCUGGCCCCGAGAGCAGCGAGCGGCGGCCGCGGGGCGGGCGAGCCUGGGCCGGGCCGGGCCAGCGCCGGGCGGGGGCCACUCCGGAGUCGGGAGGCGGCGGCGCGGGACGACGCGGAUCUCAGGCGGCGCGCGCCGCUCGGACGCCGCGGGCACCAUGGGCUGCUGCUCCGGGCGCUGCUCCCUCAUCUGCCUCUGCGCGCUGCAGCUGCUCUCAGCACUAGAGAGGCAGAUCUUUGACUUCCUUGGCUUCCAGUGGGCGCCCAUUCUUGGAAAUUUUCUACAUAUAAUCGUCGUCAUCCUGGGCUUGUUUGGAACCAUUCAGUACAGACCUCGAUAUAUUGUGGUGUAUACAGUAUGGACUGCCCUUUGGGUCACCUGGAAUGUGUUCAUUAUCUGCUUCUAUUUGGAAGUAGGUGGACUCUCUAAGGAUACUGACCUAAUGACAUUCAACAUCUCUGUACACCGGUCCUGGUGGCGGGAACAUGGGCCUGGCUGUGUCCGAAGGGUGCUGCCCCCAUCGGCCCCCGGCGUGAUGGACGAUUACACCUACGUCUCCGUCACAGGCUGCAUGGUGGACUUCCAGUACCUGGAGGUCAUCCACAGCGCCGUCCAAAUACUGCUCUCGCCAAAGAGCUUAGCAACAUGCCUAGGACAUAACAGGCUGUCGGGGUAUAUUGCAUCAUUGCUGCUUUGUGAGACAUUCAUAUAGUUGGUUGGUUUUGUGUAUGCCUGUUAUGUCAUCAGUAUCUUCAUGGAAGAAGAGGACACGUGUCGAAAUAAAUAAUGGCACGGACUCUGAAAUGCGGCCACUGCACUUGACUUAGGAAGCAAAGCACCGUCAACGGCACUUCCCUGCAUCCACAUGUCUCACUUCCUUCCAGAGGAUGGACCGCGCCUCCCUGCUUUCCCACGCAUCACGGAGUUCUCAGGUCACAGCCUCUGUACUAUUAGCAUUGUUUGCUAGAUGAGUUGUAGGUGCUUGGGUGGGUAUAUUUUUAGUCAUUUCCUUCUUAUAUGAAUACUCGCAAAUUGUUUUUAAUUUUAACAAUAUUCAAUGUGAGGCAUGCAAAAUGAAAACCAUUCUGUGAAAAGCUUCCCCAGUCAAUUCGAAGAGAAAUGCAGGUUUGUGUUGUUGAGGUGUUAAGUCCCCUUCGAUGACUGAUGCCUGUGGUUAUCCUAGGCCUGAUGGAGUUUGCACAGUGGACAGUACCCGGGUUCCUUGGCAGGAAGUUAGAUGCAGUGACAACUGAUAAAUGGGUACAGCUAGUGUGUCGGGCUUUCAGACUGAGUCUGGAUCAUGUUUUCAACAUCACAAGAAAAAAAAGGGAGUCCUCUUUCAUUCUCGACUUUCCCAAACCCAGAAUAAUAUCACGGCAAUCUCAAAGUUCAGAUUCUGACAUGACGUCUUGUUCCUCUUGUGUUCUGAAAAAUACAUAUCAUUGGCGUGUAAAAGGGUGAAAUGACCAGUAGGACAUCUUUCCCAUUUGGAGGGAAUCUUGAGUAUCUCUGAGGUUCAGAUUUUCUACCCUUUAUCACAGUUCUGGCACAGGCAGCAGACCUAACUAUACAGCCUGUAGGCUUACGGGGCAGAAAUCACAAAAAUCUGCAGUCAGGAAGGUUGCUCUUAAAAUAUUCUGAAGAAGGUAUUAAAAGGGCAUGGAAUUCUCUAGAAGUACUUCUAAAGGAGAUAUUUAAGUGUUUUGCAUCAAUUUUUCUUUCUCCUACCCACACCAAGAAUCAAGAAAUUAAUAUGGGAAACAUAAUUUUCCAUGGAAAAAAGACUGCCUUGGGAAAAAAAAACAAACCAUCAGAGUUUUUUCCAUUCAUAUCUUUCAGUGACUAUUUGCCAUAUCAAAAUAAGCGUGGCUCACUUGGGUAACAACCAAUAUGAGAUUUCCCAUGAGCCUCAAAAUUGUGAAUAUUCUAUUUAAUCCAGAAGUUAACCUGAACCACACAUCUCUCAGAAAUCAGUUUACAAAUCAUCUAAAAUUGUGUGCAAAUUUGUGUAUGUUUGUUGAGGGGUUUUUUUCCCUGCUUCUUCGUCUUUGAAGACCCUAUAUUUUUUGAGACUCUGUGAAGAAUCAGAAUUUAUGCAGUAAAGUCUGCCGUGGUUCCUCCCAGUGUGUGAUCAACACUGUGAGCUUUCUGGAGGACUGUUUCACUCUUAGCUUCUAGAUUUUACCAUCAGUCAGCGGACAACCCCUGAAUCUCAUCACUUCUCAUUUCACUGAAUAAACCCAAAUUCAAAUGAAGAGGAACUAACAGGGACCCAGAAGGGCCGAUCUAAGCCACCUUGUGUUGAGGUGACCUAAAGCCUACGAGGUUUGAUGGUGUAUCCAGAGUCCUGCUGUAUUCAGAGGGCACAGGCUAUAGUGAAAGGAAGGAGAAGCUGGAGGGCAAAACCAGGAGGGGCAUGGUCCACCAAUGUGGUCUUGGACAGUGUUGGAUAUCUUGGCCCCGGAGACUUCCUCAUCUAUAGAGUGAAAGAUAAUCCCUACCUCCAAAGGGUAAGGCUCACCUGGAAGGAUUACCUGGAAAUGUCAAAAAUACUCUGUAAACUGUGAAGCCCACAAUUGAUAGAGGUGAUGAUCCUUGUAAUUACACAAAAAGUUGGAUCCUGUCUGGAGCUUUUGCUACCCAUUCACAUGCUGUGCAGAGCCCCUGCAAACCCCAAACUCUUUCAAGUUUUCUAAAAAGUAGCUUGAGGAGUUCCCAUAGGGGCGCAGCAGAAACGAAUCUGACUAGGAACCAUGAGGUUGCGGGUUUGAUCCCUGGCCUUGCUCAGUGGGUCAAGGAUCCAGCAUUGCUGUGAGCUGCGGUGCAGGCCAGCGACUACAGCUCUGAUUAGACCCCUAGCCUGAGAACUUCCAUAUGCCACAGAUGCGGCCCUAAAAAGACAAUAAAUAAAUAAAUAAAUAAAUAAAUAAAAUAAAAAAAUUAAAAAGUAGCUUGAAAUAACUGCCCAUGUUUAAGAGAUGAGAAAUACUACACACGAAACAGUGCUUCUUAAUUUAAAACUAACUUUUAUGUUCGAAUUCCAAGACGAAUGCAUAUUAUUAUUAUGGAUAAGGCUAAUAGAGUAUUUUAAAAAGUAGAAAAUCAGUAAAGACAGAAGAAUAAAAUUCACAUUUAAAUAGUUUAAACUGGAGUUCCCAUUGUGGCUCAAUGGGUUAAGGACCCAACAUAGUAUCCAUGAGGAUGUGAGUUCAAUCUCUGGCCUUGCUGUGACCUGUGGUGUAGUUUGCAGAUGCAGCUCAGAUCUGGCUUUGCUGUGACUGUGGCAUAGACUGGCAGCUGCAACUCUGAUUCAACUCCUAGCCUAGCAAAUUCCAGAUGUUGCAGCUGCAGCCCUAAAAAGAAAUAAAAUAAAAAGUUCAAACUAGCAUUUCAUGCCCCCACCCCACCACACACAAACAAAACUAUUCUAUUUGUGAACACCUCACAAAAUAGUCCCACACUACCUUGUGUUGUUUUGCCUUCAUGUAAGUUUGCACAUCAUUCUGCGAUGCACUGCAGAGGCCUAGACCUUGUCUCACUGCAGGUUUGAGGAGGAGACCCUCACAUUCGUCAUCUUUCUAUAGAUAUUCAAUGCAGGGCAACUACUUAAAAGCGAUAUGUUUUUAGUUUUUCAUCUUUCUUCAUUUAAAUUAUAACUGUUUCAAUCCUCAAUCUCAGCAAUUCAUAAUAAUUCUAAAAUUCCAAAAAACUUGUCCCUCAUCAGAAACAAGGCAACUAGGUCUCCCUCCCGCCCCCCACUUGGCUCCUCCCUGCCUCUCCUCUUCCUGGCCAGUCUUUAGAGGUUCUGCUUCCUUAAGGCAAGAGAUGAAGCAUAGGCUUGUGCAGUAGGACUCGGCAGCCACCUCUCGAUCGGGGUGAUACCAACGCAGUACUGUCGAGCUUGCUGCCUCUUAAAAGUGAACAUUUUUGAGUUUGCAGCUUUUGCCUCCUGUGGUAGGCACUCUGCGCUGUACCCAUGUGUCAUGCAGCAGGGCUUUCGACAAAGACAUGUUCACUGUAUCUACAUUCUUGCCAAAUCUUGGCUUCUCUGUGUGCAAGUGUGUGUGUUGUCAGAGCAAGGGAAAAUGACCAUGUAUUUUUAACCUGCACUCACUUGUUAGAAUAUCUGCAUCCAAAGAGAGAUAGUCUAGCUCUAGAUUCAAGCACUAUCCUCAGAAGUGGUCCAGGGAAAGCUGGAAACAGUACACCCACUGCCCAUUGGCCCCUAGCACUGACCGGGAUGUAAGGGAAGGUGAAAACCAGGUGUUUUUCCCUCUUUUAACCACCUUGGCAUUGCGUCUUGUGACCCUUGGCCAGCCCUGCUCUAGGAAAUGUCUUCCGUGUUGCAUCAGUGACUUAUCCUCGCUUUAGUGUCUUCUGCUUCUGUUGUGCAAAGUUAUAGGCAGCUGGGGUGGUUUCCGCUUUACCUUUUGUUUCAGCUUCUGGUCAUGUUUCAAAGCAGCAAAAGUUAAGCAGAGGAAUCACUGGAGGCAGAGGGGUGCGGGUAAUUACUGAAUUCCCAAGGGACAGAAUACAUAUCAGGAUAUGGAACAGCCUAAAUCAAGAGAAAGCUCAACCACCUCUUAGGAAAAGCUCUGAGCUGGUACAUCCACAAGCAUCCUAGCCUCCCACCUGCUUACAACAUGAGGGUAUAAGUCUUUGGAACAAAAGCUUGUGUCCAUGUUACUCUGGCCUUUGAGGCUGUUCUCUUGUCUUAAAGAUAACUUGACAUCUUGCCUAGCAAAAUACUGACGUCUUUCUUUUUUCCUCCAGAAAAAAUAUAAGCCCUAGUAUUUCCUAUAGACCUAACUCAGGGAGGCAACCAGCUUCAAGAGGCUGGAUCUAACAUAAUAUAACAAGGCUGCCAUCUGGUUCACUUAAUGAAGGGGACACUCAUGAUUGAGAAGCAUUCCUCUUCAGCAGCAGCAGCUAAAAUAUACACUGCAAAUCUGGAGACAACCAACAUGACUCUGCUAAAUUGAGAAGCAAGUAAAAACCAAAAUUGCUCUUUUCAAUCUUUGCAAAUGAGAAAGGAAUCUUGCCAGAAAUAAACAGAUCUUCAUUUCAUACCUAAUUUAAAAAUUUAUAGUAUCUCAAAAUGUGGAUUCACUAUGGAGUAAACAUUCUGGCUAAUUAUUUCUCCAAGGAACUACUCGCUUAUCAUUCCUGAGUUACUUUGGUACGUAACUAGGAGAACUUUUACAGUUGAUUAGAAUAGAAUUCAAAUGUUCCAACUUGACCUUUUGGCCCAAGUUCGUAGCUGCUUUCAACAAAUCACUGAAUUAAGUAGAAAACAAUACCAAUAAUUGAUCUUUUGAAACUUAGAAACCUUGAAUGUCUGUUUUUCUUGUUUUCUUCCCAUUUAGUAGCAAUCUGUAACUUUUGCUGGAAAGUCUCUCUAUGAACCCUCUUCAAUAUUCAUGAUAAGUAGGCCCACAACUCAUGGAUGUUAUGCCCAAAAGUUGAGCUGAUAAUCACUGCUCACGUAGCUGCAUAGUGUGUAAUGCAGAAAGAGAGCAUAGGUGUUUCAAAUAUUAGAAGAAUGUAUUUAUUAAUAAAGAAUUCUUGGGAGCUCCCACUAUGGCUCAGUGGGUUAAGAACCAGACAUAGUAGCCAUAAAGAUGUGGGUUGGAUCCGUGGCCUCACUCAGUGGGUUAAGGAUCCAGCAUUGCUGCAUAGGUCACAUACAAGGCUUUGAUCCCACGUUGCUGUGGCUGUGGUGUAGGCCAGCAGCUACAGCUCCAAUUCUACCCCUGGUCUGGGAACUUCCAUAUGCUGCCAGUAUGGCCCUAAAAAAAAAAUUGGUGUCAGGUGAAAAAUGAAAUCAUCUUGCUCAGAUUUACAAGCAUAUCAAGGACAAAAAUCACAUUAGAUACUAAACAUUUUUUAAUGAAAUAUUCAGAGAAUCCAAAAUAUGCUUUGGCCUGAACUAGAGAACUGAAUUAAGUAAAAAGAAGAAGGAGAAAUAAGACAGGAAGGAAAGAAUGGAGGGAGGAAAGGUGAAAAUAAAUAGAAAGAAGGGGAAGAGAGAGAGAAUUCAAAUUUGAAAGUUUACCUAAUUUGGAUUUGGACAUAUCAAUCCUUAACUCGCUAUUUUUGUUUCUUUGAGUGACUAAAAACAUUGGAUCAUUUUUCAUUUAGGGCAUGCUUUUCCUUUACUCUCCAAAGUUAAGUUUUUUAAAACAGUUUGAAGACACCAAUAAUCUAGUUAUUUUCAUGGACUUACUUUGGUAGACAACCUUGUCAGUCUAUAUUAGUUAGUCUGUAUUAGAUGAGGGUUACCUGGAAGUGACAGAAAGAAAAAUGACUGUAGCUUAAAUAAGAUACAGGUCUAUAUCUCUUCAUAUUUCAAAAUUCUGGAGAUAGCAGAGAACUGGACUUGGGUUCCCUAGAGACAAGGACCCAGGAUCCUUUUCUUUCGUUGCUUCAUCAUGUGUUCUGCCAUGAUGCAAGAUGACUGCCAAAGUUCCAGCCAUUGCUUUUGUAUUCCAGCUAAAAAGGAGGGGAAAGGGAAAGAGAAGUGUGCUUCUUUCAUUUAAGGAUGUGUCUCACAAGUUGCACACACACUAUUUGGUUAACUCCCAAUUUAGCUGCAAGGAAAUCUGAAAAUUGUAGUCUUUAUUCUUGGUGGCUUUGUCUCUGUCUAAAGUUUAGAGGCUUCAUUUCUUAGUAAGGAAGGGAAAUGUAUAUUGAAGAAUGCUUAGCAGUCUCUGCCACACAGUUCAAACUAGUUGGCAUGAUUUUGGGGGAUAAUGUUUUCAUUUACUUUAAUUAUAAUACAUUAUAGAAAUAAAGCUCUUCAAUAUUGUGAGAAAUUAAUUAUCAACCCUGUGAAAUGAGAACUUCUACCUCAUCUUUCUGCCUUCUUAGAAAAAAAAAAUCUGUGGCACAAGACCCUUUCAUAAUUCUGCAGAGUAUAUUUUAACUUUCCUUUCUGGAAAUUGAAUUCAAAAUUCAAGAACCAGUCUCAUAUUGCUUGGUUCCCACUGUUCUGCUACAAAAGUACAUUAAUUCUUCUACAGUCAUAACUCUUCAACUCUUAUUUUGGCAGCACCUUUUCUGCUGAAUUGAUUAGUAGUGUCGUGAUUUUCUUUUCAUUCAGUUCAACAAAAACGUAAUGGACAGUGAUGCUUAGGGAGGUGGGAAAGGACAUUCAAGUGAAAAGGAUACAGUCCUUCCUUUUCUGCUAGUUUUCUCUCAGUAAGUUAGGCUUGUGUUUCCUUUAUCGUGUUUCUUGAAGACCAUAAUAUUGGCUAGAGCUGAAUGCAUCUGUGGGAAACUGGCUCCAAGAGCCCCCAUGGAAACCCAACCUCUCCAUGCUCACCUCCCUUAAAUAAAUGAUGCCAGUGAUGACAAGGGCCACCCUCCCCGCCACACCCCAUAUCUGUAUGCUGUUCAAACCCAAGGAUACAGGAAAACCAUGGGUGAUGGGGAGGGCAGGGUGUAUUUUAAACUACUUGACAGUCUAAGAAAAAAUACAAUUGAGGGAAAUCAUAAGAUGUUUUUGUAAUUAGAUUUUAUCAUCUCUUUCUCCUAGGCGGUGUGUGUGUGUGUGUGUGGAGAGAGAGAGAGAGACAGAGAGAGAGACAGACAGAGACGCAGAGACAGAAACCUCCCAGGUACUAUUCAUGAAACAAUAGUCCAGGAAGUGAUUUCCAUCCUGGGGAAGUAUUGGUUACAGUCUUCUUACACCUUGUGCCAGCAAGUCUGGCAGCUGACAUUGAUAAUGGAGAUAAGAUUGGUGACUUACUCAUGUUGUACACACCCAUCUGCAUACGAAUGCCAAUAAGCACAUCCUUUUCUACAUAAUCACGCUGUUAAAAGGCGCCAUGUGACCCAUUUCCCUGAAGGAUAAGUAACAUGAGAUUAUUUGAGGGAGUGGGAGUUUAGAGGAGGUGUUCUGGGACAGUGUUCUUCCUCUGCCAGUUCAGGUAACCGUGAAGGGACCUCAGCAAUUGGUUUGCUUGGUUCAGGGAUUGAUGGCACUGCUAGCUCAGAGGCUUGUCCACAUUUCAUCGGGGUUGCUAGGCAGGUUCUCAGAUAAGCCUUCUUUCCUCUACCUUUGGGGGUCAUCAGCUGUCACAAGGCCAGCCUGCCAGGCCUUGGCUGUCGUCUGCAAUUAACAAUUUUUUUCACCUGGGUUCCUAUGGGUAUCUCCUCCCCCUCUCCCUGCCCUAUGCCUGGAUCCAAACAUCAGGAAGUUCCAUCCAGAGGGCUUACUGCUUAAAGUCACAGUGUCUUCUUGGGACAAAAAAAAAAAAAAAAAAGCUGCUCUAGCACAGGUUUGGGCCCUGAUCUGGGAACUUCUGCCUGCUGCUGGCUCUGCCUCAAAAAAAAGAAAAAAAGAAAAAAAGAAAAGUACAGUCCUGCCUGCUUUCUUCUUUCUUUGCUCACGAUUGAAUCAUUCCUUCUGCCCCAAUCAGCCUUCUCAUGCUUUUGUGUCAGACAGCAGAUAGUUAAACAGCGAGGUAACAGUCUCUUUGAAAGACUUUUGUUCCUGAGGAAGUGAUUUUGUAAGUAAUUGCUUCGAGUCACUUUUAACGGCAUCAUGUAGUUUCAUUUCUUUUAAAUCUUUAUUUUUUAAGGGAAUUGCGCUUUCCCACUUCCGGUGUUUUAAAUCUAUUUUAAACCUAAGAUAGCAGUCUUUGAAUGCAGUUUUACAAAAUAAUUUACUUGGGUCACCUAUAUAAUACCCUCAUCACUGCAGUUAUUCCUACUGUCCUCGGAUCACGAUGGUAUAAAUGGAAUAUUCUAGGUGUGAGCAGUAAUUAGCUUUCUGGUCCCUUCAUCAUAACUUGCAUUGUGUUGUACAGACUUCUGUUGGCAAUGUCCAGGGAUUUUAUUCUAAACUGUCACAUUUAACCCAUGUAUUCAACCUGUAAGUAUUUAGGUUCUUCUCUGCCUUUUCAUUUUGCCACCACUCUGAAUCAGAAAAUUAGUUUCCUGUGGAAAACAUUUUAAAGCAAAAUAUAUGGAGCACCAAAUUAAAUAAUGUUAGAGUUAAUUCCAUUUUACUUAUUAUUUUUUGAACCACUUGUUUAGUGAGGUGAAUUAAGGAAAAAAUCAAUUGAUUGAUCUUUGGAUUUUUUUUUUAACAUCACAGAGAAGAGCCGUGGAUUACCGGAACUCAAAUAUCUAAAGUUCACCAAGAAAUCGAAAUUGCUUGGCCCUCUGGAAAGUUCUUUCUGUGCUCCUGGGCUUGCUAGGACUGCUCUAAAAUCUUUGUCAAGAAGGAAGUUUCGGGGGAGGGUGGAGGACUUCUGAUCCUGUGAUAUUCUUUCCUCUUUUGUUUCAGGGCCCAUGGCCAUCACCCUCUUGACUUUAUUCUGCCUGGUCUUCAUAUUCCCAUAGCUCUAAAUAUGGGACUGCAUGAUAAGUAAAACCUCUUAAGAAAGUGGAGCAUUUGCACUACAUUUCCCUGAAAAUCUAAGAUGCCAUAGGCUAGAGGCUCACAGCACAGGGGAUCAUCAGCCUCAGUGAUAACUGUAAUAAGGCUACGUCUCAUUUUCUGGGAAAGACAGAUUUUCCAGUUUCCUCCUGUAUAACUCAAAGGAAGUUUGAGUGUUAGCACCUCAAAAUACUUCUAAAUCCUCAGGAGGAAAAUGUGAAGCAAAAAAUAUCUAUUUCCUAAAGCAAAAUGCCUAUUUUAUUCUUUUUCCGAAUAAUGAAGUUAUUUCUUAUCCCAUGGUAGAAAUGUAUAGGUGAGAACUCCCGCUGAGAACUUCUUGAUCUGAAAACCUAAGGAACUUGUGCCAUUCUAGGCAAAAAGACAAGAAAACAUUGUCUUCUUAGUUGUGCUUACCUUUCACAUUUUUCUGAGAGCUGCUUCCUGGCAACCUUACCCAUAACAGAACUAAGAACCAAGAACAAACAGAGAAAGUCUUUGACUAUCCCAAUAAAUGUUACAAAACCCAUGCUCUGACGUUCCCCUAGUGGCUCAGAAGGUAAAGAACCCGACUGGUAUCCAUGAGGUGGCAGGUUCGAUCCCUGGCCUUGCUCAGUGGGUUAAGGAUCCAGCAUUCUCGUGAGCUGUGGUGCAGGUCGCAGACAAAGCUCAGAUCCUGUGUUGCUGUAACUGUGGUCUAGGCGGGCAUCUGGAGCUCUGAUUCGACACCUGGCCUGGGAACUUCCAUAUGCUGUGGGUGUGGACAUAAAAAGCAAAAAAAUCAAAAAUAAAAAGACAAAAAAAAACAUACUCUGAUACUCCUGAGUUUUUCCAAAGGAAAGUUCUUCAACCCUUUGUUUAAAUCCUACUUACUCUUAAUUUACACAUAAUUCUAAUUACCUUAAUGACAUUGUUUUCGAUCACAUGACAGACUGCAAGCAGAAAAUUAGGGAAAUAGACAUUGCAUAAAACAAGUAGAAAUACUUACAAUAACUUAACAUGCUUUCCCUAAUGAAAAGAACAGCGAUAGAGCAGUUCCCAUGUGGCACAGCAGGUUAGGGAUCUGGCAUUGUCACCGCUGUGACUCUGGCUGCUGCUGUAGUGAGGGUUCGAUCCCUGGCCCCAGGAACUUCCCCAUGCUGUGAGUUCAGCCAAAAAAAAAAAAGAGACAGAAAACGACUAUAAAAUUCUAUAGCACAGUUGUCUGGAGACAUUUAAAAUAAGAAUGAAAAUACUUUAGUAGAGUUUGUGGACAACACUUUAUUCCUUCAAAGAAUAGCACUGCAUUCAUACAAUCAUAAAUUCAAAUCAUCGAUAAAAAUAGUUAUUGUAAAUUAGGAACAGGAACCCCUUAAUCAAGAUACUUUCAUCUGUCCUUAAUUGUAUUAUUGAUUUUUAUUUAAAUUAGGCACUUGAUCAUCUACUGGAAAAUCUUUCAAAUAACCAUACAGAUCUUCAAUUUGAAUGGAAAUCCUUUAAAUGUGGCCUUGCUGUGCCUGUGUAACCUGCACGACUUUAUAUUUUGGCCCUGUGGUGAAUAUGGUCUUCUUAAAUAACUAGGUGGUGAUUCUGGAAAACACCAUAAAAAAUGGUUAAAAUAAAGAUGCUCAGGUAUUUAAGAGGUUAAAUAUCAGUAAUACCAAGACAUUCCCUAAAUAUUCAGAAUAGGAGCCAUGUUCUAGUGAGACACUCUCUGGGCAGGGGUAGAUUUUCAAGACUGGGGGCCUUGGUGUUAGUGCUCUAGAAUUUUCCCCUUCGAUAAAUUUUCUUCCAACUUGUAACUGCAAAAUUAUCUCUUCUAGCAAAAUGCCCUGAUAUUUUUCAGUUGCAAACAUAUCAAAGUCCUGGGAUGUUCCACGGACAGGGGAGGCCUUUGCCAAAAGUACAACCAUAGAUAGCAUGCUUUUUCCACGGUAAGCGUGUCCCUCCUCCUCCAGUCACCAAAACAUGCCGGCACCUCCAUGCCCUAUCACCCCUCUGCAAAAGGAACUAGCUUCUCUCUUGACACUAGCAGCUUUGAGCAACCUGGGAUGGGUAGUCACUUCUUCAUUCAUCGAGAAGUCUGAUUUGUACUUUAAUGUGUGAAACUGACAAUGCCCAGAAGAUACUACUGGUCUUGAAGUUGCUCUGCGCAGUAGCGACUGUUCCAGCGUACACCAGCCACAUGGAGGAGACAGAAUUAAAGACCUCCUGCAAGCCACACCGUGUGCUCAUGCCCCCUGGUGGCUGCUGCUUCUUCCUUUCAAAACACCCUGCUGAGCACCUGCUGGGCAUGAGGCCUUAGCAGGACUAGAGAUGUGAUGGGAAAUCAUACCCGAGUUUGCCCACAAGGAGCUCACAGUCCAGUUGUGAAGAGGAGUAUUAACAGAGCCAGACACUGGUGGGACAGGCUGGGGCUGUCCUUUCUCUGGAUUCUGGGUCCCAGCAACCUCAGGAGGAAGGAGAGGCUGUAGGUCUCCCUACCAUACAGCAAAUCCUUAGUGAGCAUCUACUUUGCACCAGAAGCUGGGGGGAGGGCGAGGGGUGUGUGUGAAAAAAAAAAACAAAUCAAAUAUACAUCUUUGCCUUGAGAAGUUUACAAAAGAAACCCUAGUAGCGUUCGGGGGGGGUGGGGGGGUCAAUACAUUGCUUUCCUUAGGUUUAGCCUGUAGAAAUGACACCUGUUCAUUUUACCAUAACUGAGGCCUCCCGAGGCCAGAGGCAGCCCCAUUCAUCCCACCAGACCUAGGCUGUCUCUUCUGUUGCGACUCUGGCUGAAAGAAAAGAUGGACAGAACGAGCCCCCUACUGCUCAGGACUGGAACUACAAAUGCCAGAACUGUGAUGACCCAUCACAGAUGAACCAUAGCAAGUCUGAAAGGCCUCUGAAUUCACAUCAAAGCUCCCCACAAUCAAAUCAGUCAUGGCCACGACUCACUCAAGUGAUAUCAGCAGACCUUUUCUUGUUCCAACUGUGGUGAUCUGAGAGUGGUGCCACAGGGCUGGGUUUGAAGGGUUAAUGUUUAAAUAAAAACCAGAGGCAACAAAUAAGGGGACAGCGUAAAGGAACAAAAGCAAUGCUGAAAGCAGUUUUCAUGCAGCUGGCAUAGUUGCAGAGAUGACAUAACAUGCAACUGUUUCUUUGAUAUUGUUUCUGACAAACUCAACAUUGUUAUCCUUAUUUAUUACUGAAAGCAGGAUAGCAGUAUUUAAAUUGUGGGAGCAGCUCUAACUCUCUAGGUUGCUGUGACCAACAGAAUGAAAGUUAGUUUGUUCUCACGUUUGUAACGGCAACUCUGCCAUCUCUUGGAAAAUGCUGGAAGUACCUAGAGCAUUUCACAAUAUUUCAAAGGCAAGGAUCUGCUGGUAAGAAGACAGAUGAAAAGGACAUUGCCUGUCUAUUUCUAUAUGAUGUUUUUAACCUUUAACAUUUGUACCAGCAAACGUCACUAAAAAAAAAAAAAAAAAAAAAAAAAA